UAAGUCUGAUGGAGCAUGCCGCGUGAGUGAAGAAGGGUUUCGGCUCGUAAAACUCUGUUGUUAAAGAAGAACACCUUUGAGAGUAACUGUUCAAGGGUUGACGGUAUUUAACCAGAAAGCCACGGCUAACUACGUGCCAGCAGCCGCGGUAAUACGUAGGUGGCAAGCGUUGUCCGGAUUUAUUGGGCGUAAAGCGAGCGCAGGCGGUUUUUUAAGUCUGAUGUGAAAGCCUUCGGCUUAACCGGAGAAGUGCAUCGGAAACUGGGAGACUUGAGUGCAGAAGAGGACAGUGGAACUCCAUGUGUAGCGGUGGAAUGCGUAGAUAUAUGGAAGAACACCAGUGGCGAAGGCGGCUGUCUAGUCUGUAACUGACGCUGAGGCUCGAAAGCAUGGGUAGCGAACAGGAUUAGAUACCCUGGUAGUCCAUGCCGUAAACGAUGAGUGCUAAGUGUUGGAGGGUUUCCGCCCUUCAGUGCUGCAGCUAACGCAUUAAGCACUCCGCCUGGGGAGUACGACCGCAAGGUUGAAACUCAAAGGAAUUGACGGGGGCCCGCACAAGCGGUGGAGCAUGUGGUUUAAUUCGAAGCUACGCGAAGAACCUUACCAGGUCUUGACAUCUUCUGCCAAUCUUAGAGAUAAGACGUUCCCUUCGGGGACAGAAUGACAGGUGGUGCAUGGUUGUCGUCAGCUCGUGUCGUGAGAUGUUGGGUUAAGUCCCGCAACGAGCGCAACCCUUAUUAUCAGUUGCCAGCAUUCAGUUGGGCACUCUGGUGAGACUGCCGGUGACAAACCGGAGGAAGGUGGGGAUGACGUCAAAUCAUCAUGCCCCUUAUGACCUGGGCUACACACGUGCUACAAUGGACGGUACAACGAGUUGCGAAGUCGUGAGGCUAAGCUAAUCUCUUAAAGCCGUUCUCAGUUCGGAUUGUAGGCUGCAACUCGCCUACAU
rnacentral:rRNA from 2 species